rnacentral:rRNA from 1 species
GAUGAACGCUGGCGGCGUGCCUAAUACAUGCAAGUCGAGCGAACGGACGAGAAGCUUGCUUCUCUGAUGUUAGCGGCGGACGGGUGAGUAACACGUGGAUAACCUACCUACAAGACUGGGAUAACUUCGGGAAACCGUAGCUAAUACCGGAUAAUAUUUUGAACCGCAUGGUUCAAAAGUGAAAGACGGUCUUGCUGUCACUUAUAGAUGGAUCCGCGCUGCAUUAGCUAGUUGGUAAGGUAACGGCUUACCAAGGCAACGAUGCAUAGCCGACCUGAGAGGGUGAUCGGCCACACUGGAACUGAGACACGGUCCAGACUCCUACGGGAGGCAGCAGUAGGGAAUCUUCCGCAAUGGGCGAAAGCCUGACGGAGCAACGCCGCGUGAGUGAUGAAGGUCUUCGGAUCGUAAAACUCUGUUAUUAGGGAAGAACAUAUGUGUAAGUAACUGUGCACAUCUUGACGGUACCUAAUCAGAAAGCCACGGCUAACUACGUG